rnacentral:rRNA from 1 species
GGUACCGUCAGGCCUGCCAUGUAUUAUAUGACAGGAGGUUCUUCCCCUCUGACAGAGCUUUACGACCCAAGAGCCUUCAUCACUCACGCGGUAUUGCUGCGUCAGGCUUUCGCCCAUUGCGCAAAAUUCCCCA